rnacentral:lncRNA from 1 species
AGAACAUUCUACAGAAAGCAUUUGUGAUGGCCUCUUGCCCUUGAGGAGCCGUGCCCCGCAUCUUUGGACCUUGGUUCCCAGGACCUACCAACAUGAUCCCAUCUUGGAUUUAGGUUUCUAGCUCCUUGGCCAGAGUCUGAGGGAAUAAUGAAAUCAAUACACUCAAUCCAUAUUGUGCAUAUGGUUUUGAACUCUAGGUUUGGGGGUUCUGAGGUGCAACCCAAUCAAAAGGGCCUGUUAACAGCACCAUUUGUGAGAGAGAUUUCUAGGUUGGAUGUUUGUCUUCUGCAGUUGACUUCGAUUAUCUGUCUCUGGUGGGCCCAGAACAAAAAGUUUUGGUAAGGCAAAACUAGGCUCUGAUUUUGUAGGCAUGGCAUUCAUUAUGUAAGCGUACAGGUCUAUGUUUCAAAAUGAAAAAUAACAAUAAUAAUUAAAGUUUCUCUAGGCUUCUUGUGUCCAAACCACUCUUGCAAAAUCACCUUUGGAUGAGCUUUAAGUGUCAGCAAAUCAGAAACAUGUGGAUUUAAUUUCCUUUGAAAUACACCAGGGGACCAAGGGGCAACAGGGCUUGGCAACCAGCUUCUUAGGGUUUGCCAAACCCCAAAUACCUCACACUCUGGAAGAGCUGUCCCGCUGGCCCCCAGCAGUCUUAUCUGGCCAGUCCAGCCGCUGCAUUUCUUGCUAUCCCAACUAGGUUUUCUCUAACCAUUAGGCUGUUCUCUUGGUCCAUUUUAGCUGCCAGAAGGACACUGUUAACACCACCCACAUGCAUAACAGAACUUUGGAAGAGGGACCAGACUGCAAUGAGGUGUCAGGUUGGCUUCAGUCUUAUCUGGACGAACAGGCCAUCUUUGCAGCCAUUACUAUGUCUUUAAAACCCAAACCAACUGUGAGAGAGGUUUUUCCAACUUGACUUCUAGAUGGGAAAAUAUUUUGCUUUUAUGGUGGAUGAUGGUAUUGGGCCCCAAAUAUAUUAGGUUUCAUGAUCAUCCAUCACUCAUGCAUAUAAUAUGAAACAUGUCCAUACUCUGCAAAGACCACAGCCACCCCGCCAUUAGGUUCCAAGGUAAAUAUAGGCCCACAAACCUCCUGGAGAAACAGAGAAGUUUCCUUCGAGGAGAGGAACCACAGUUGUGUAGUUGUGAUGCAUCUCUGAAACCCCUAUCCCUAUCCCCUGGUCUACUCUACCCAAAGAGUAAGGAUAUGCCAAUAGAUCUGUGUCGUUCUCUGGCCCAUUGUUUUUCUUUCUUGGUAUUAAUGCUUCUCUUUUUCUGUUCUAUAUUUUCUAUGUCUUGUGUCUCUUUUGCCUUAAAUACCAAUGUACAUUUAAUGCAAAGGGCCAACUGAAGCUUUAAAAAGUACUUUUCACAUCCGAAACAACUAAUGCUUUAGUGCCUGUGUGUCAUAUGUUUACAUAUACUGAUUUCUUUGUUAUCCUUAUCUUACUGAAGGGGCAACAGAGGCAGCGCCAGAGAGACAGAGUAACCUACACAUCACACAACCAGUAAAUAAAAGCUCAACCUUGAUUUCUGGCCACUGGGCUCCAGAAAUGGUGUUCUAUCCAGGGCUCAAUGCUGUCUCCUACUCCAUUGUUUUGUAUGUCAAGUUGACUGGCCCAUGAGGUGCCCAGAUGUUGGUCAAGCAUUAUUCUGUUUUCAUGGAGGAUGUUUGGGGAUGAGAUUAACAUUUAAAUUGGUAGACUGAGUAAAGCAGACCCCCGGACCUUGUAGUGUGUGUGUGGACCUCAUCCAAUCAGUUGAAGGCCUUAACAGAACAAAAAUACUGAUUCUCCCCUGAGUAAGAGGUACUUCUCUUGCCUGUCCUAUUGAGCUGGGACAUUGGCUUUCUUCUGCUUGAACUUGAACCGAAGAAAUAUCAGCUCUUCUGGGGUGUUGAGCCUACUGGCAUUGGGUUAGAACUUCACACCUGGUUCUCCUGGUUCUCAGGCCUUUGGAGUUGGACUGAAAAUACACCAUUGGCUCCCCUGAGUGUCUAGCUUGCCAACUCACCCUGCAGAUCUUAGGACUUGUCAGCUUACAUAAUGACACAAGCCAGUCCCUUAUAAUAUCUCUGUUUCCGUCUAUCUGUCUAUCUCUAUUUACCCUAUUGGUUCUAUUUCUCCAAAGAACCCUAAUACAAACUUUUCUUAUUGAAUUUGCCAGGCAAUCCUGUGGAGGUGGAGGUGAUGGAUCAUCGCUGCUUGCCAGACGAGGAAAAACCUAGAACAUGUUCAUUUUAUCCAUGCACGUGUACCUGUACACAUAUAUGCACACACAUAUACACACCUGAAUUCAGGACAAAGAGCAAAAUCAAGGUCCACGCAUUUCUUAUUCAGCACUUCUUCCCCAAGGCAUCCACAGAGCAGCCACAGUUGGCAUCGUUAGGUUUUUCCAGACCUUCUCGCAGAAAACUCUGCCUGGAGUAUCGGGUGACAGAGGAACCACUGCUAUUUUGUUUGUUCUUCAAAUUCCAUAUUGUAAAUUCCAGCCAAAAAAACCAACGAAGUAAAGAAUUGGGAACCUUGCAAGUUCCCACCUGGAAACAGUGAAUAUAGGGAAUGGAUCCCUGAGGGUACAAUUACCUCUGAACAAUUGGGUGCUGAGCUGGACAAGGAUAUCUGGCUAGUGGAAUUUUUGUGCAAAAAUCUUUUAUCUUUGUUAGCUCAUGUAAACUCCAAGGCCAUUCACUGUGUCAAGACUAUUGACACUUAUCCUAGGUGUUUACUUUUCAAGGCUUUGUCUUUUAUAAAGCCACCCCAGCCUCAGGGUUAAGAAGAAAUCAGGUUCUCUACUCUCACCCCACCCCCUGCCUCUUGCUUUUACAGUAUCCACUGUGGCAGUCCAGGACAACAGGUGAGCUAGUAAACACUGAAGGUGUGUCCUGACUGUCCACUCAAAGCCAAGGUAGACUGGUGAUCCACUAACAUCUUCAACUGCUUGUACCGAGUGGUCAGAAACUCAGGAGGACAUGUCUGUGCCUUUCUACUGCUGUGUCUAAGCAGCAGAGGGGAAUUCUAUGCUGGGCUUUAGCAGCCUCAGGACCCUUGCAGCAUCCUCUGAACCUCCCUGCUCUCCAGCUUCCCACCCUGAGCUUUUUUUCUGUUGAAAGUGGCUGGGGGUGACGGGGGAAUGGUGCAUCCACUUGAGGCACACAACUCCCACGCACACCUCCCUCUGUUUCUGUGGGAGCUGAGAAGCUGGGGGCCGAGAAGGCUGGCUGGGAAGGAAAGGCUGGGACUGAUCCUGCAAAGAUGGGGCAGGAGGUGGUGCUUGUAAGCAGGGAGCUUUGGUUUUAAUGAAUAAAAUCUAAAAACCCCAAGUUCCCACCUGGGGACCUUGGGGUCAGUAGGUGGAAUCCAGUUUGGUCAAAGGGUAAUCAUUCUCAUCCUUUAACUGAAAACCUUCUCCCUCUCUCCCAACCCCCUAGCCCUAGAACAAUACUAUUUUCAAAAGGUUUGGUUUGGGCUUCACACGGUGCACUAGUUGUUGUGAGUGGCAAAGAAAAAAAAAAAAAAAGAGCAUUUUCCAUUUAAAAAAUGAGCCUCAAAUUCACUAGUUCUUCCUCAAGCCAAAAGCUUCUGACUUGCACUGGCUUCUCUCUAAUGGAUAAUGGGUAGUUUUUCAUACUUUGAAAAACACUGCUUUUUUUUUUUUUUUUUUUCCCCUCUCCGGUUGAGUAAGCUCUUGCAAGUGGGAUUAAACAAGAAACGCCAUUUCUCAUGGAAAUGGCUUUAUUUCCAUUAUACCCACACUGGCUUGUUUUCAGAGUGGCUCAGACGUGCUGGACAAUGUAUCCUGAAUUGAGGAAGAAAAGGGAGAUGGUUGAAACCUUUGCUUUGAGGGAAGAAACCCAGCAAAGAGAUCUAUUCAUUCGCAUUGACCUUGGAGAUAGAUAUCACGUAAUGCUACAGUUUAGGCCUAAUUAUUUGUGGAGGAGCAAGCAGGGCUCCUGUUCUGUGUUUUGUAGCCAUGGACCUCCCCUCUGCUGGGUGCCCCAGUAUCGGGUGCCGCUCACGAGCGGGCCGGGUGUGUUUGAUGGGUGCUGACACGGCCUGGUCACAUUCCCUCUCAACAGAGCUGUCCUUAGCAGCCAGCCUGGUGUCAUUGGUGAUGCCACAGAAUAACAUGUAUACCUGCCUGUAGGAUAACACCGGGUUUCUACCUGGUUCCCUUCUGAGAUACUUCCAGCCUGCAAGAGGAUCUGAUUGCACUUUAGAUUUACUUAGGUAGCCUUCACAAAUAUUGAUUCACGUUGAAACCUCCUAAAAGAAAUACACCUAGCUCCACCCCAGAUCAAUAUCACAGAAUCAUGUGGGGAUGGAUCCUGGGCAUGAUCAACAUUAAAAAAAAAACAAAAA